UAGCGUAUAUUAAAGUUGUUGCGGUUAAAAAGCUCGUAGUUGGAUUUCUGCUUAGGACAGCCGGUCCGCACUUCGUGCGUGUAUCUGGUUUGGCCUGGGCAUCCUCUCGGAAACUGUUCCUGUGCUUGAUUGCAUGGGGCGGAGUUCGGGACUUUUACUUUGAGGAAAUUAGAGUGUUCACGGCAGGCAAUCGCCCUGAAUAUAUUAGCAUGGAAUAAUAAUAUAGGAUCUGAUGCCUAUUUUGUUGGUUUCUAGGUGUUAGAUAAUGAUUAAUAGGGACAAUUGGGGGCAUUCGUAUUGUUGAGUC
rnacentral:rRNA from 1 species